AUUGAACGCUGGCGGCAUGCCUUACACAUGCAAGUCGAACGGUAGAGUAGCAAUACUUGAGAGUGGCGAACGGGUGAGUAAUAUAUCGGAACGUGCCCAGUCGUGGGGGAUAACGUAGAGAAAUUUACGCUAAUACCGCAUACGAUCUAAGGAUGAAAGCGGGGGAUUCGCAAGAACCUCGCGCGAUUGGAGCGGCUGAUAUCAGAUUAGGUUGUUGGUGAGGUAAAAGCUCACCAAGCCGACGAUCUGUAGCUGGUUUGAGAGAACGACCAGCCACACUGGGACUGAGACACGGCCCAGACUCCUACGGGAGGCAGCAGUGGGGGAAUUUUGGACAAUGGGCGAAAGCCUGAUCCAGCAAUGCCGCGUGCAGGAAGAA
rnacentral:rRNA from 1 species